UGCGUAGGUGGUUAGUUAAGUUGGAUGUGAAAUCCCCGGGCUCAACCUGGGAACUGCAUUCAAAACUGACUGACUAGAGUAUGGUAGAGGGUGGUGGAAUUUCCUGUGUAGCGGUGAAAUGCGUAGAUAUAGGAAGGAACACCAGUGGCGAAGGCGACCACCUGGACUGAUACUGACACUGAGGUGCGAAAGCGUGGGGAGCAAACA
rnacentral:rRNA from 1 species